rnacentral:rRNA from 1 species
CUCAGUAACACGUGGAUAACCUGCCCUUAGGAUUGGCAUAACACCGGGAAACUGGUGAUAAUACCGAAUAGACCAUUUAUGCUGGAAUGCUUUUUGGUUCAAAGGCUUCGGCUGCCUAAGGAUGGAUCUGCGGCCUAUCAGGUAGUAGUGGGUGUAAUGUACCUACUAGCCUACGACGGGUACGGGUUGUGAGAGCAAGAGCCCGGAGAUGGAUUCUGAGACAUAAAUCCAGACCCUACGGGGUGCAGCAGGCGCGAAAUCUUUACAAUGCGGGAAACCGCGAUAAGGGGACACUGAGUGCCAGCAUAUUAUGUUGGCUGUCCACAUGUCUAAAAACCAUGUGUUAGCAAGGGCCGGGCAAGACCGGUGCCAGCCGCCGCGGUAACACCGGCGGCCCGAGUGGUGAUCACUUUUAUUGGGUCUAAAGGGUCCGUAGCCGGUUUAAUCAGUCUUCUGGGAAAUCUGACAGCUCAACUGUUAGGCUUUCAGGGGAUACUGUUAAGCUUGGGACCGGGAGAGGUAAGAGGUACUACAGGGGUAGGAGUGAAAUCUUGUAAUCCCUGUGGGACCGCCGGUGGCGAAGGCGUCUUACCAGAACGGGUCCGACGGUGAGGGACGAAAGCUGGGGGCACGAACCGGAUUAGAUACCCGGGUAGUCCCAGCCGUAAACGAUGUUCGCUAAGUGUCAGGGACGGUGCGACCGUUUCUGGUGCCGUAGGGAAGCCGUGAAGCGAACCACCUGGGAAGUACGGCCGCAAGGCUGAAACUAAAG